AAUGAAAACUAGUGGGUUACCACUCGGCACCCGCGCUCCGCGGCGGGUUCAAACGUAGACAAAAAUAAGUAAAUUGUGAGUGUUAAAGCUCUUCGAUGUUUUAGUUAAGAGGCUAAACAUGUCAUUAUUAAGGUUUAGGGGUUAAAGUUGUUCACUAUUAAAAUUGAGAGGCUAAACAUGUUAAUAAGUUUAAGGGCUAAUGUUAUUUAUUAUUAGGGCUAUUGGAUUUUAUCACCCCCAACUUGACUUUUAUUAAGAGGCUAAAUAUGUCAUUAUUAAAGUUGAGAGUAUUAUAUAAUUUGACUAACACGCCCAUUAUCGAGGAUUCAAUGUAUAGGAUCACUUCAAGGGUCGGACCUACAGUUCUGCUAAGGGGGCGGUCGCUCCCUCUGAAUUUUUUUAGUGUAAUAUAGGUGUUGAAAUCCCGAUUGCCCCCAUAAAAUUUUAUAAUCACACCCCUUGAACUUUUUUGAAACCAAAAGAAAUGUGAAAAGUUAACAAUUGAACUUUCCGGUGGACUGUGGCGGAGCUGUGGCUGGAGAUGGUGGUUAACGAUAGAGAAGAAGAUGACACCAAAAUCAAAGAAAAGUUCACAAACAUCCAAUAUUAAUGUUUAUUAUUUUAUACUUGGAUGAAGUGUGCAUUAUAGCAUAUAGUUUUAACUAGUAUGACCAACUUAUAAGUCUAUAUACAUUUUUGAUUGCGAACUUCUCUAUAUAGAUUGAGGGAUUGUUUGUUUUUAUUGAAAAGAUUUUUCUGGCCACUUUUGUUUGCUUCACACAGACCACACGCAGACCUUUUGUUUCGCAGAGUGUUUGUUCUUUAGAAGACAUUUCAUUUAAAAACAUCUGCGUGUCCUCUUAUUCCAGCAGACGUGCACUUCCUAUUUCAUACCACUUCCAAACCCUAGUUAUCCUUCCCUUCUCACAAAUCGCCUCUCACCCCUCUCCUCUUCCAACAUCCGACUCCACCUCUCACCUCCACCAACAACCGCCACCUCCACCACUCACCUCAACCAACAGUCGCCGCCUCCACCUCUCUCUUCUACCCCAUAGCCGCCUCCUCCACCCCAUAGCCGCAACCUCCACCUCUCACCUCCACAAACAACGCCAACUCUCACCCAUCUCCUCCACCCCACAACCGCCGCCUCCACCCUCUCCUCUAUCCCACAACCGUCUGCAAAUGUUAAAAAAACAAACAGUAUUCUUCUCGCAGACUUGAGAGGUUUUUCUACAUCUUCUACUACAGAUGUCUGCAUAUGUGGUUCUUACGGCUAUAAGAUUAAGAUUCUAAUACAAAUUUUUGUAAUUAUUAACUUGUUGUUUCUUACUGCUAUAAGAUUAAGAAUAAUAAUCAAAAUAAUAUUUAAGAAUAAAGGUUAUGGGGUUAUUAUUUUUAAGAAUAGUAAGAAUAGUAAUAAAAAUAGGGUUAACUUUGUAGAAAUGUAAUCAAGUUUGACAUCUGUUCCAAUUAAAUCACUAAAUCACUGAAACUUUUUUUGUCUCUCUAAAGUCACUAAAGUUUCAUUUGUUGUUCUAAUAU
rnacentral:lncRNA from 1 species